rnacentral:miRNA from 1 species
GUUGCAGCAGUGGCAGCAACAGCAACAACAACAAACGACUACAACGACGUUGCACUAAAAAUGUGGCCCAUUGUUUUGUGGCAUGAUUUGUUGUUGUUGCUGUGGCUGCUGCUGCUGCUGC